AUCGCUUCUCGGCCUUUUGGCUAAGAUCAAGUGUAGUAUCUGUUCUUAUCAGUUUAAUAACUGGAACAAACACUACUAAUAUAAUGUGAAAAGAUGCUCAAUUGCAUGUUCUCAUUCAUCAGAGAAAUGCAAAUUAAAA
rnacentral:snRNA from 1 species